CUCACCGGAGUGGUGGCA
rnacentral:snRNA from 1 species